UCUGGUGGCAAUAGAGAGAGGGAAACACCUGAUCCCAUCCCGAACUCAGCAGUUAAGACUCUCAUCGCCGAUGGUACUAGUCACAAGAGACUGGGAGAGUAGGUCGCUGCCAGAU
rnacentral:rRNA from 1 species